rnacentral:tRNA from 1 species
AGAGGCUUAAGUUAAAAAAAAAACUAUAAAUUUUCAAAAUUUAUUAUAGCUUGUUUUAGGUUAGUUUCUG